rnacentral:sRNA from 1 species
AUAAUGUAAACACGAGCAAUAUGUAUGUAGCCUCCUUAACUCUCUCUAACGAACUCCACCACCUCAGACGGGCGGGCAGUGCUGAGGCUGGAGGCUGUCAUCUAGGACAAGCAUUAUUAUCAUUAGCCGCACGUUUCCUUAUCUCCCAGCGAUCUGUCUGAUUUAUUCCGUCCUUCGUUAUCAAGGAUACAAUUUUACUAUUGUACCAGUACUGUACAAUGAUCUGCUCUUAAUAAGCACCCAAUGGCGCUCCUCUCUCCAGGCUCCCCGGAUUUUGCAAACACCAAGGCGGGAAAGUCUUAUUUUGUGGGCAGCAAGCGAUAUAUCUUCUAUAAUGAAUGUCAAACGGGCGUCCCAGCUAGCUGGUAACAACGACUCACAACAGAAUUACCUCAGCCAUCUCAGAUCUAACAAGACAACAACAAUGGGGCCGGGGACGAGUCCAGCUAGCGCUCUAAAGUAAGCUGUCAGUGGCUUGAGCGGCGACGCCAGUAUCUGGAAGCGCUCCAGUGCGCUCGAGCCUUGAGAUUUUACCGGUGCUGUGUGACGUUAGGGGAGGUCUGUUUCGCGCAGGGUCCCAAUACGGCAUGUGAGCGCUGCGCCACCAAGAGUGUGAAGCGUAGCGAUACUAGUAGUCGCCGCGCCUCUUGUGCGGAUGAUAUAUCAGAGGUAGUGAAUGUUCGUGUUUGUGUCUGUUGUGAAAAGAUCGCCCGGCUGGCUGAAGUGAUUAGGGAUCUGUGGUUCCUCCAUCCACUGGGACUGUUGCGCCUAGCGACAUGCCCUCGGCUCCAUCUCCUUUCCUUUCGGCUGGCGCUUCGCAUUUCGCUGGGUCGUUUCUAUCCUCUGCGGCGCCGUCUAUCUGUUGACGCCCCAGCCGCGUCGAUGGUGCCCACGCCGUCUACCAGUACGCGAUCGACGUUUGCUACUCUGCAAAUCUCAUUCUAUCUUUGCGUCAAACGGGCGGAAAGGUGCGCCCGGGAGGCUGUGGUUGCGCGUAAAUAAUAAUCAGGUGGCUCGAAGAUUGGCGCCUGUGCCAGGAGCCUUUUAACCAAUGAAUUGAUGCUUUGCCUUCGUUGUGUGAGUGUACGGUGUAGUGCUAAGGGUCGUUCGGUGCAGGAGUUGGGUAUUACGUACGGGAUAGGAGGAGCGAGGAGGAAGAGAGUUGUAAUGCGGAUUAGAAUUAGGAUUGUUAUAGGACUCUCAUGCAACGAACGAGGAACGUUGUCGGAAGGAGCGAAGCUUAUAGAUAGCUCAUUAGAGCACCAUCAACAGCGAGCCAUAAGGCUACACCCAGUACUACUAGGCAGACCUCACAUAGCUAUUCACCCUACAUAGUUACACCUAUACCCCGGUACCUACUAGUGUAUGUCAGCCUAC